UCCAACGUCGUCGGACGGAACAGCCGCACUUCCUCCCUGAGUUCCUCUGUCAAACCAUUCAUAAAGAUAUCCAUUAGUGUACUUUCUGUCAACUCCUCAACCUCCGCCGACAGCAACUCGAAUCGACAUCUAUAUUCCUUAACUGAGUCAAUAAGACGGAUGGAGAAUAGCUCCUCCUGAGCUGUGCGUUCGUCUUCUGGCUUGAAAUGCUUGAGAGUUGCGCUUCGAAAAUCUCCCCAGUUGGCAAAUGGUUGUCUUCUCCUCCUCCAGCGAAACCAAUGAAAUGUCGCUCCCUCCAUACACACCCCCACAGCUGUAAGUCUCUCUCGCUCUACUAUUCUGUUAACGUCAAAAUAGCGCUCUAUCUUCUCUAGCCAUUCUAACGUUUUCUCUCCAUCAAACAAUGGUAAAUCUAACCGUCGAAAUUGGACAUCCCUCCGGGUGCCUACCUGGUAGACUUCCUCUUCUCUUCUAUUUUCCGUGGCUUCCUCAUCUCUGCCUACCUCCUCUAUUCUUGUCCGCGAAGGUGUCGGCGUUUCCCCUGUUGGUGAGUGAUGAUAUGGAGAUGGUUCUCUUUCCACAGGUGUUGUCUUCUCCUGGUUCAGAGUUUGUGACGGAGAGGUUCCAGUGUUCAUCGGAGAUUUCCCCUUGUCAUUUCCAUCCUUCCCGACCAUGGCUUCUUUAAGAUCUCGGAGUCGAUCACCCAUUUCUGUCAUCUUCUCAUGGACCAUAACCAUUUCCUUCUCGAGUCCGUCUAUUCGGCCUUCCAUUCUCGAUAUGCUCUGAUACCAAAUGAUAGGUACCUGGAGGUUUUGAGAGCUGGUUCGAUUGAAUCACAUAGCCUCGACCGUCGGAAGUCGAAAGCGUUGGCAAAUCUCAAAUGGAGUUCGUAGGAAUAUUUGUGUUGUUGGCAGUUUAAUAAUGUAUAUUGCAAUGAUAAUGGAACAGCAGACUCUUUAUGUAAAUUUUGUUAUAGAAGCAGAAAUAAACAACUUGCACUUAAA